UACAGAGGUCUCAAGCGUUGUUCGGAUUCAUUGGGCGUAAAGGGUGCGUAGGCGGUGCGGUAAGUCGGGUGUGAAAUCUUGGAGCUUAACUCCGAAACUGCAUUCGAUACUGCCGUGCUUGAGGACUGGAGAGGAGACUGGAAUUUACGGUGUAGCGGUGAAAUGCGUAGAUAUCGUAAGGAAGACCAGUGGCGAAGGCGGGUCUCUGGGCCGAUACUGACGCUGAGGAGCGAAAGCGUGGGGAGCGAACAGG
rnacentral:rRNA from 1 species